UGACUAGGAUGACGCUGGCGGCGUGCCUAACACAUGCAAGUCGAGCGAUCUUCUUCGGAAGAGAGCGGCGGACGGGUGAGUAACGCGUGGGUAACCUGCCCUGUACACACGGAUAACAUACCGAAAGGUAUGCUAAUACGGGAUAACAUACUUUUAUCGCAUGGUAGAAGUAUCAAAGCUCCGGCGGUACAGGAUGGACCCGCGUCUGAUUAGCUAGUUGGUAAGGUAACGGCUUACCAAGGCGACGAUCAGUAGCCGACCUGAGAGGGUGAUCGGCCACAUUGGAACUGAGACACGGUCCAAACUCCUACGGGAGGCAGCAGUGGGGAAUAUUGCACAAUGGGCGAAAGCCUGAUGCAGCAACGCCGCGUGAGCGAUGAAGGCCUUCGGGUCGUAAAGCUCUGUCCUCAAGGAAGAUAAUGACGGUACUUGAGGAGGAAGCCCCGGCUAACUACGUGCCAGCAGCCGCGGUAAUACGUAGGGGGCUAGCGUUAUCCGGAAUUACUGGGCGUAAAGGGUGCGUAGGUGGUUUCUUAAGUCAGAAGUGAAAGGCUACGGCUCAACCGUAGUAAGCUUUUGAAACUAAGAGACUUGAGUGCAGGAGAGGAGAGUAGAAAUUCCUAGUGUAGCGGUGAAAUGCGUAGAUAUUAGAGGAAUACCAGUUGCGAAGCGGCUCUCUGGACUGUAACUGACACUGAGGCACGAAAGCGUGGGGAGCAACAAGGAUUAGAUACCCUGGUAGUCCACGCCGUAACGAUGAGUACUAGCUGUCGGGGUUACCCCCCUCGGUGGCGCAGCUAACGCAUUAAGUACUCCGCCUGGGAAGUACGCUCGCAGAGUGAAACUCAAGGAUNACCGGGACCCGCACAGUAGCGAGCAUGUGNUUNNUCUAAGCAACGCNAGACNNCUAGCUGACAUCUUNACUCUCCUAAUCGAAAUUC
rnacentral:rRNA from 1 species